rnacentral:rRNA from 1 species
AAGACAGAGGUGAAAUCCCUGGGCUCAACCUAGGAAUGGCCUUUGUGACUGCAAGGCUGGAGUGCGGCAGAGGGGGAUGGAAUUCCGCGUGUAGCAGUGAAAUGCGUAGAUAUGCGGAGGAACACCGAUGGCGAAGGCAAUCCCCUGGGCCUGUACUGACGCUCAUGCACGAAAGCGUGGGGAGCAAACAGGAUUAGAUACCCUGGUAGUCCACGCCCUAAACGAUGUCAACUAGUUGUUGGGGAUUUACUUCCUUGGUAACGUAGCUAACGCGUGAAGUUGACCGCCUGGGGAGUACGGCCGCAAGGUUAAAACUCAAAGGAAUUGACGGGGACCCGCACAAGC